rnacentral:rRNA from 1 species
AUUGAACGCUAGCGGGAUGCUUUACACAUGCAAGUCGAACGAGUGGCGGACGGGUGAGUAAUGUCUGGGAAACUGCCUGAUGGAGGGGGAUAACUACUGGAAACGGUAGCUAAUACCGCAUACCAUCGGAUGUGCCCAGAUGGGAUUAGCUUGUUGGUGGGGUAACGGCUCACCAAGGCGACGAUCCCUAGCUGGUCUGAGAGGAUGACCAGCCACACUGGAACUGAGACACGGUCCAGACUCCUACGGGAGGCAGCAGUGGGGAAUAUUGCACAAUGGGCGCAAGCCUGAUGCAGCCAUGCCGCGUGUAUGAAGAAGGCCUUCGGGUUGUAAAGUACUUUCAGUCGGGAGGCGUUACCGACAGAAGAAGCACCGGCUAACUCCGUGCCAGCAGCCGCGGUAAUUC